GCGGGAAUAGCUCAGUUGGUAGAGCAUAACCUUGCCAAGGUUGGGGUCGCGAGUUCGAGUCUCGUUUCACGCUCCA
rnacentral:tRNA from 1 species